rnacentral:rRNA from 1 species
GACGAACGCUGGCGGCGUGCCUAAUACAUGCAAGUCGAACGCACAGUUUAUACCGUAGCUUGCUACACCAUAAACUGUGAGUUGCGAACGAGUGAGUAACGCGUAGGUAACCUGCCUGGUAGCGGGGGAUAACUCUUGGACACGAUAGCUAAUACCGCAUAAUAUUAAUUGUUGCAUGAUAAUUGAUUGAAAUAUGCAAUUGCAUAAAUACCAGCUGGACCUGCGUUGUAUUAGCUAGUAGGUGAGGUAACGGCUCACCUAGGCGACGAUACAUAGCCGAACUGAGAAGGGGAUCGGCCAAACUGGGACCGGGACACGGCCCAGACUCCUACGGGAGGCAGGCGUAGGGGAUCCUCGGGAAUGGACGGAAGGCUGACCGAGCCACGCCGCGUGAGGGAAGAAGGGUCUCGGGUCGGAAAGAUCCGUUGUAAGGGAAGAACGGGUGGUAGAGUGGAAAGUUCACACUGUGACGGUAUCUUACCAGAAAGCGACGGCUAACUACGUG